rnacentral:antisense_RNA from 1 species
UCCAAUGGCGGGCCGUGCGGGCAGCCUUCGGGCUGGCCGGUUUUCCUUUUGUCCGGUAUUGCUACCCCGUACAGCCCGCCUCCCUU